rnacentral:rRNA from 1 species
GGGCUGCAGUCAAGAAUCUUCCGCAAUGCACGAAAGUGUGACGGAGCGAUGCCGCGUGCCGGAUGAAGGCCUUCGGGUCGUAAACGGCUUUUAUUAGGGACGAACAAAUGACGGUACCUAAUGAAUAAGGGGUUGCUAACUCUGUGCCAGCAGCAGCGGUAAUACAGAGACCUCAAACGUUGUCCGGAUUUAUUGGGCGUAAAGGGUUCGUAGGUGGUUUUGAUAGUCAUAUGUUAAAUCUUCGGGCUUAACCCGGAGGCUGCGUGUGAUACUACAAGACUAGAGGAUGGGAGAGGUGCACGGAAUUGCCGGUGUAGCGGUUAAAUGCGUUAAUAUCGGCAAGAACACCAAAUGCGAAGGCAGUGCACUGGAACAUUCCUGACACUGAGGAACGAAAGCGUGGGUAGCAAAUGGGAUUAGAUACCCUAGUAGUC